rnacentral:rRNA from 1 species
AUACGGAGGAUCCGAGCGUUAUCCGGAUUUAUUGGGUUUAAAGGGUGCGCAGGCGGCCUUGUAAGUCAGAUGUGAAAACUAUGGGCUUAACUCAUAGAUUGCAGUUGAAACUGUUUCUCUUGAGUGGAGUAGAGGUAAGCGGAAUUCCGAGUGUAACGGUGAAAUGUGUAGAGAUUCGGAGGAACACCAGUGGCGAAGGCGGCUUACUGGGCUCUAACUGACGCUGAGGCUCGAAAGUGUGGGGAGCAAACAGGAUUAGAUACCCUGGUAGUCCACACUGUAAACGAUGAUUACUAGGUGUGGGGGGUCUGACCCCUUCCGUGCCGCAGUUAACGCAAUAAGUAAUCCACCUGGGGAGUACGACCGCAAGGUUGAAACUCAAAUGAAUUGACGGGG